rfam:Janthinobacterium sp. KBS0711 VM94_contig000008, whole genome shotgun sequence.
UACGUCUCACGUGACUGGCGAAAAGUCGGGCGAUCUCCAUGAGUGGCGAUCGGCAAACCGGCGAAAGGUGGGCACCCACCGGGAAACGUGAGAUUUUUCAUCAGCCGUUCGCCUGGGUAGCCACU